GACGAACCGUGCGAACGUUGUUCGGAUUCACUGGGCUUAAAGGGCGCGUAGGCGGGCUCGCCAGUCAGGGGUGAAAUCCUCCGGCUUAACCGGAGAACAGCCUUUGAUACUGCGAGCCUCGAGGAAGGUAGGGGCAUGUGGAACUUCCGGUGGAGCGGUGAAAUGCGUAGAUAUCGGAAGGAACGCCGGUGGCGAAAGCGACGUGCUGGACCUUUACUGACGCUGAGGCGCGAAAGCCAGGGGAGCAAACGG
rnacentral:rRNA from 1 species